UUUUUAAAAAAUUAUUAUUAUAAAUAUUUUUCUUCUCAUUAAAUAUAAAAAUUACAUUCAAAACAA
rnacentral:tRNA from 1 species